GAUGAAGAACGUAGCGAAAUGCGAUAAGUAAUGUGAAUUGCAGAAUUCAGUGAAUCAUCGAAUCUUUGAACGCACAUUGCGCCCGCCAGUAUUCUGGCGGGCAUGCCUGUUCGAGCGUCAUUUCAACCAUCAAGCCCCCGGGCUUGUGUUGGGGUCCUGCGGCUGCCGCAGGCCCUGAAAAGCAGUGGCGGGCUCGCUGUCACACCGAGCGUAGUAGAUUUUAUCUCGCUCAGGGCGUGCUGCGGGUUCCGGCCGUUAAACCACCUUCAUAACCCAAGGUUGACCUCGGAUCAGGUAGGAAGACCCGCUGAACUUAAGCAUAUCGCGGAGGA
rnacentral:misc_RNA from 1 species